GACGAUAUAGUUUAAUUUGAGAUGGCUGCUCUGCGAGUGGUUGGUGAAAGGUGUUUUUCUAUCGUUG
rnacentral:tRNA from 1 species